GACGAACGCUGGCGGCGUGCUUAACACAUGCAAGUCGAACGGAAAGGCCUUGUUUUCGUGGGGGGUUCGAGUGGCGAACGGGUGAGAAAGGCGUGAGAAACCUGCCUUUGAUUCCGGGAAAUCUUCAGUAAACUGGGGCAACUACGGGUAAGGAGCUAUUGCUGUAUGGUGGGGGUCGGAUGGUUUCGGCGGAUGGGGAUGGAGUUGCGGCUUAUCGGCUUGUUGGUGGGCUAGUGGCUUACGUAGGCUUUGACGGAUAGCGGGCCGGGGAGGUUGACCGGCCACAUGGGGACUGAGAUACGGCCCAGACGCCUACGGGAGGCAGGAGUGGGGAAUAUUACACAGUGGGCGGAAGCCUGAUGCAGCAACGCCGCGUGCGGGAUGGCGGCCUUCGGGUUGUAAACCGCUUUCGCCUGGGACGAAGCGUUAGUGACGGUAAUGGGUGAAGAAGCACCGGCUAACUACGUG
rnacentral:rRNA from 1 species